AUUGAACGCUGGCGGCAGGCCUAACACAUGCAAGUCGAACGAGUCGCGGACGGGUGAGUAAUGCCUGGGAAUCUAGCUUAUGGAGGGGGAUAACUACGGGAAACUGUAGCUAAUACCGCGUACCAUAGGAUGAGCCCAGGUGGGUUUAGGUAGUUGGUGAGGUAACGGCUCACCAAGCCGACGAUCCCUAGCUGGUCUGAGAGGAUGACCAGCCACACUGGGACUGAGACACGGCCCAGACUCCUACGGGAGGCAGCAGUGGGGAAUAUUGCGCAAUGGGCGCAAGCCUGAUGCAGCCAGGCCGCGUGGAUGAAGAAGGCCUUCGGGUUGGAAAGUUCUUUCGGUAGCGAGGCGUUACCUACAGAAGAAGCACCGGCUAACUCCGUGCCAGCCGCCGCGGUAAUAC
rnacentral:rRNA from 1 species